AGUAAAUCAGAUGAGGACUAACACUGAUAAGCUGCUUAAGGUAAAGGUACUUUCUCCUUGCCCUCACACAGCCCCUUCUCCUGGUGCAACAAAAUUUCAGGAACUCAUGAUGAAAGAAGAAUCAAAUGAUCUCUGAAGCAACUGUACAUGGUGUGAGGUUUUUCUGCUAAAAACAAUCUACUCCCUGCUCCCCCCACAGGCAAGAACAGACUAUUGACUGUACACAUUAACAAGCUAUGAUCUAAAUGCUUCAGGAGCUAAUUGUUAACAUUGUGGCAGCUAAAAUAUCCCUAAAACUGGCUCAGUGAUGCCCCUGGAUGUUUGAAGUGUAAAAACUUCUUAGGAAAGAAUUAUAAGCAUUCUGUACACAGUUUGCUACAGCACCAAAACAUUGGCCUGUUAAAAAUCACAGAAAUCAGAUAGUUUAGAUUGUGGCCUUAAUUUUUUUUCUGUUAGCCAUGGGGUUAGGUCUGCACAACAAACCAUUAUGCAGGCUUCUGAUGCAGUUUCUGCCCUAAACAAAAGCCAGUUGUACCCAUACUUUCUGAUUUCACCAUCAUUAGCCACACACUGGGAUACCUCCCUCCCUCUCCCCCUCCUCUUUCCUUUCCCAAAAGUAAUAAUGAAAAUAGCAGGUGGCACUUAUCAAGCUGGAACUUGGUAUUAUAUACUGAUGGGGCCACCUGAGGUCUGUCAAAGCCCUCAGAAAACUCAGAGGACAUCCAUCAGUGAAGACAGUGUCCAGUACAGACUGCUCCAGAGUCUCCAUACCAGGAGCUACUUGCCUCAACUCCUCAGAGAAAGUAGUCUCCUUUCCCUAUGAUUAUUCCAGCAGCAGGCAGAUGAGUGAGGACAGCUGACUUGAUAUCAAUGGCAGCAGCAAGUACUUCACCAGCUUCUUUGUAAAAGAGGGAAACAGGACUUUGUGCAUUCUUUAUAAAUAAACAGCAUACCAUCAGAGAAAUGCAUAUCUACCUCAUUAGUUUCUCCUCUAAGAACUAAAUGACUACUUGCAUUAAAAAAGAUAAGGAUGUUGUCAGAAGACAGGUGUCUGCCUUACAUCUAGAAGAAUUGUGCUAUUAAAGUCCUUAAAAAAAGAGGUGAAUGAGACAUCCCAGCACGACCCGGCUAUGGAACUGGAAAACACCAUUUGCCGUAGGCGGCCAGGUACAUACAUAUAUAGGAAGCCACCAAAGCACUGAAGCCCAGUAGUGAAAAGCCAACUUCAAAGAACAUCAUUAUGGACAACCACCAGGCAGUCUUCUAUAGGUUGGUCGUCUGGCUUCAGUUUCUUCACUUCAUCCUGGUGUCUGGCCAUAACUUCAGUAUCUGCAAACAUGGAGAAAUAAAAGACAAGUAUAUGUUCAUCCUCAUGCCCGACUUAGAUACAUACCCGGGUAAAAAGGUGAUGUUUUUUUCCUCGUGUCCAGCCAAAUCGAUGAUACAGUUGCUGCUGCUACAUCUCUGCCUGCCCUUAAUGGUGCUCGAAAGAUAGUUUGGAGAAUAUUUACUGGUAAAUCUGGGUCUUGAUUAGCUUGGUAAAUGGUUUUUGCCCAACAGCUUUUGGAAGGGAAAAUUUCCCCCUCAUUUUCCAGGGGGACCUGAAGCCUGAAUUCAAGAUAUCCCUGUAACUUGCAGUGGAUGAGAAAAGGUGAAACAAGGGCACAGUCCUUCCAACCAAGAUAAAUCUGACUGUGUAUUUCAUUCUUCAAUAUUCAUAUGCAACAGUAAUAUGCAUGAUAGGAUGUAAGUGGGAUAUGACAUGUGUACUGUGCAUGUGUCCAUACACACACCUACCACGGAAGACUUUUCUUGAAGCUAAGCAUGUCAGUAGAUUUUCGCUGGACAGGGACUUGUCAGAUAACUUUGAUCACUUGAGAUAAGUGUUCCAGGUACCAGGUAUGGGAAGAAAAUUCAAUGGCUCAUAAAAACUUUGCAAUCAUUGUAACCAAUUUAUACCAUAAAUGCAAAAGCCAACAAUGCUGGAGAAAGUUCCCUUUUGUUAAAUCAAGUUGCCUGGUGUGAUCGUCUGGUUAUAUGCGAACUGCUGUUAUUUUCUCUCUCUGUCUCUAGGAUCAAGAUUAUCAUGACUGCGAAGUCGGUGUGAGUGUUAUUCCAUUGCUCUUUGAACCCAUGAAAUGAUGCUUAGGAAAAAAUGAAGGGACUUCGGGACCUCCCGUGGUAGAGCAGGCAAAGCUUGGAGCUCGGUUCACAGAGCCCAACAAUAAUGAAGUGGUUUGGGGUUGAUACAAACAUAAAACUUGCUGGGGAGGGGGAGGCGGAGAUUAAGAUAUUUUAAACAGAAAACCAUAAAAACGUGCAGAUUGAUAGCUAAGCGUGUUUCGCUCCUUCUCUUCACUGCUUUUCAAAGGUGCUGAAAAGGACACGGUCCAUGGUAGAUAGGGAUGUGUAGCUCUUUCAGGUAGUUUCUUAGAAAGCGGAAGGAUUUGCUGAGAAAGGUGUAACGGGUGCCAUCUAUCGGCUGUUAACCUCAACUGACCGAUCGCGAUCACAUUGUCUCCGCGUACCAGAACGAAAACCUGUUGCGGUGCAUACACAACGUUACCAGGCGCUGCAUCUGCACGCAGUAUAAGCACAUCUGGCAGGACACUCGUGCGCUUCUGAACGAAAAUUGCAAAAGCUACGACCCUUUGCAGGAUACUGGAUGUCUCAAACCUGUUGCUCGGAAAAGAAGGGCCUCAGGCUCCUGUAAUAAAGAACUUGCAGAACUAAGGUCAUUAUGGAGAAGUUACAUGAACCUCGAGGACACGGUGCCUUAAUUUUUUUUACCAGUAUUUAUUACCAGCUAUGCAAAGGGUUGUAAAUGUUGCAAUGAUUUUUUUUGUUAAUUUGACUUGAAUAUCUUUUUAAUUUAUUUUGUAAAACCUGAUGGGCAUAUGUUUGUUAAACAAAUAGCUUGCAAACACAAUGUAUGAUUCCAGCAAUUAAAACAAUGUUGAUCAACUCCUGCAUGUAUGUAUGUAAAGUGCAUCCUGAAU